UGAGGAAUAUUGCUCAAUGGGCGAAAGCCUGAAGCAGCAACGCCGCGUGCGCGAUGAAGGCCUUCGGGUCGUAAAGCGCUUUUGAGAGGGACGAGAUAGGACGGUACCUCUGGAAUAAGUCACGGCUAACUACGUGCCAGCAGCCGCGGUAAAAACGUAGGUGGCAAGCGUUAUCCGGAUUCACUGGGCGUAAAGCGCGUGCAGGUGGCUUCGUAAGUUGGACGUUAAAUCUCCCGGCCUAACCGGGAAGUGUCGUUCAAUACUGCGGAGCUCGAGGGCAGAAGAGGGGGUGGAAUUGCUGGUGUAGUGGUGAAAUGCGUAGAUAUCAGCAGGAACACCUGUGGCGAAAGCGGCCCCCUGGUCUGCUCCUGGCACUCAGACGCGAAAGCUAGGGGAGUGAACGGGAUUAGAAACCCCGGUAAUCCUAGCCGUAAACGAUGGAUGCUAGGUGUGGGUGGUAUUGACCCCAUCCGUGCCGAAGCCAACGCGUUAAGCAUCCCGCCG
rnacentral:rRNA from 1 species